GACGAACGCUAGCGGCGUGCUUAACACAUGCAAGUCGAACGGAAAGGCCCUGCUUUUGUGGGGUGCUCGAGUGGCGAACGGGUGAGUAACACGUGAGUAACCUGCCCUUGACUUUGGGAUAACUUCAGGAAACUGGGGCUAAUACCGGAUAGGAGCUCCUGCUGCAUGGUGGGGGUUGGAAAGUUUCGGCGGUUGGGGAUGGACUCGCGGCUUAUCAGCUUGUUGGUGGGGUAGUGGCUUACCAAGGCUUUGACGGGUAGCCGGCCUGAGAGGGUGACCGGACACGUGGGUACGGGGAGACGUGCCAUGCAGGGGUGAGAGGAAGGAGUGGGGAAUAGGGGACAGUGGGCGGACGCCUGAGGCAGCAAGGCGGGGGGUGGGUUGAAGGGGGGCGGGUUGGAAGCCGCGUUCGCGGGGGACGGAGGGGGAGGGACAGAAAAGAAAAAAGAAGCACCGGGUAACUACUGGCCAGCAGCGGGGGUAAU
rnacentral:rRNA from 1 species